CCCUUGCCCCCACCCUCGCCCCCGGGGGGAGUGCAUGGCCCGCAGUCAGGCCACUGGACACAGGAUUUGGGGCCCUGGAGGUUUCUGCUGAGGCUUCAAGAGGGGUGGUCCUGGCGUUCCAGGCGCUUCCCAUCAGAUAGCAGGAGCCAGUUCUCAGGGUCCUUGGCUGAACACACAAGCUGCAAGGCUACAUAUACUCCGGCAGCCAGCUGGCUGCGGGCUGCAGACUGCAGGUGACAGUGCCAUAUCCCUCACUGCCUGCUCCGCCUUGCUAAGGCUUGGACCAGAAUCCACCAGGAGCAGGACUGGCCGGUCACUCCCCGCAAGUUUGGGUUCCUGUUUUAGAACUGCCACCUAAGCCCCUCUUAUUUCAUCUUUCCUGUGGUGGAAACCCCUGCCCCCAGCAGAGUGUGAGGUUGACUUUUUGGAAAGAGAGCUCUGAGAGGGACAGACGGUGCUCAGCCUGUGUCCUGGGGCAAAGCUGGAUUCAUUUUCCUCCCUGGCGAUCUUCUGGGGCCCACAGCUGGUGAUAUGGAGGCACUGACACCCUGGUCUCGGCGCUUGUUUUAGAAGAGGCAGAACAGUGAUAAAGACAAGGAUCUAAAUGGGCAAGGACGCCCUGCCCUCACUGGGCUCACUGGCAGCCCUGACCCUCUAUUCUGCACCCUGUGAGCCACCGAGACUGAACCAAACCCAGGAAGCGGCGCCACCAACCAGCCUCGCAGAGGCAGAGGCCCUGGAGCAGUGACAGCACAGGAGAUCUGCUGGCUCGGGGGAAGGGGAGGAAAGAGGAAAACAAAGGGAGUGAUCGAGUGAGCCUCGCCCCGCCCUCCCUGCGC
rnacentral:sRNA from 1 species